AUUGAACGCUGGCGGCAUGCUUUACACAUGCAAGUCGAACGGCAGCACGGACUUCGGUCUGGUGGCGAGUGGCGAACGGGUGAGUAAUACAUCGGAACGUGCCCAGUUGUGGGGGAUAACUACUCGAAAGAGUAGCUAAUACCGCAUGAGAACUGAGGUUGAAAGCAGGGGAUCGUAAGACCUUGCGCAACUGGAGCGGCCGAUGGCAGAUUAGGUAGUUGGUGGGAUAAAAGCUUACCAAGCCGACGAUCUGUAGCAGGUCUGAGAGGACGACCAGCCACACUGGGACUGAGACACGGCCCAGACUCCUACGGGAGGCAGCGGUGGGGAAUUUUGGACAAUGGGCGAAAGCCUGAUCCAGCAAUGCCGCGUGCAGGAUGAAGGCCUUCGGGUUGUAAACUGCUUUUGUACGGAACGAAAGGCUUCGGGUUAAUACCCUGGAGUCAUGACGGUACCGUAAGAAUAAGCACCGGCUAACUACGUGCCAGCCGCCGCAGUAA
rnacentral:rRNA from 1 species